rnacentral:rRNA from 1 species
ACGCUGGCGGCAGGCCUAACACAUGCAAGUCGAGCGGUAGAGAGAAGCUUGCUUCUCUUGAGAGCGGCGGACGGGUGAGUAAUGCCUAGGAAUCUGCCUGGUAGUGGGGGAUAACGUCCGGAAACGGACGCUAAUACCGCAUACGUCCUACGGGAGAAAGCAGGGGACCUUCGGGCCUUGCGCUAUCAGAUGAGCCUAGGUCGGAUUAGCUAGUUGGUGGGGUAAUGGCUCACCAAGGCGACGAUCCGUAACUGGUCUGAGAGGAUGAUCAGUCACACUGGAACUGAGACACGGUCCAGACUCCUACGGGAGGCAGCAGUGGGGAAUAUUGGACAAUGGGCGAAAGCCUGAUCCAGCCAUGCCGCGUGUGUGAAGAAGGUCUUCGGAUUGUAAAGCACUUUAAGUUGGGAGGAAGGGCAGUAAAUUAAUACUUUGCUGUUUUGACGUUACCGACAGAAUAAGCACCGGCUAACUCUGUGCCAGCAGCCGCGGUAAUACAGAGGGUGCAAGCGUUAAUCGGAAUUACUGGGCGUAAAGCGCGCGUAGGUGGUUCGUUAAGUUGGAUGUGAAAUCCCCGGGCUCAACCUGGGAACUGCAUUCAAAACUGACGAGCUAGAGUAUGGUAGAGGGUGGUGGAAUUUCCUGUGUAGCGGUGAAAUGCGUAGAUAUAGGAAGGAACACCAGUGGCGAAGGCGACCACCUGGUCUGAUACUGACACUGAGGUGCGAAAGCGUGGGGAGCAAAC